CAUACAAACAUAAAAUGAACCCAUGUCAAAGAUUUUAUUUAACUCAUUAAUUAAUGAGGAAACCAGUAAGACGUUACAACAGGUUCAAGAGAGAAUUCAAAGAGUAGAUACACCUAUGGGCAAUCAAGAAUGCUGGCAAAUUUUCUUAACAGAUGCAAAAACUGACUUGAGGGAGUUGCAUGCUGUGGUAAACAGAAUUCUGAGAUUCCUGCCCUCUAGUGUACAUACCCCAUAGAAUCCACUCCCUUUGAGUAUGGGCGGGACUCUGGAUGUGAUGGAUUUCAUUCUCAUGAUUAGCUUACAUCAUGAUUAGGUUAGAUGACAAAGGCGAACAGAUUUUGCAGGUGUAAUUAAAUCUUUGGGACAAAUUAAUCAGAAAGGUGAUUCCUCUGAGUGAGUCUGACCUAAUCAAGCAAAUCCUUAAAGGAAGAGAUUUGAGGUAGAAAAGAUUCUGCUGGCCUUUUCUUUAUUUCUUUUGUUUCUUUGUUUCUGCCCUUUGCGAACAAAUCUGCUGGGCUUUAAGAAGCAAACUACCAAGUUGUAGAGAGGGCCACAGGGUAGGGAAUGGCAGGCAGCAUCUAGAGCUGAGAUUAGCCCAUAUUGACAGCCGGCAAGAAAGUAGGAACCUCAGUCCUACAGCUGCGAGAUAAAUUCUGCCAACAAAGUGAGCUUGGAAGAGGAGUCCAGGCCACAGAUGAGAUGCCAGCCCAAGCCAACACCUUGGUUUCUGCCUGCUGAGACUCUGAGCAGAAGACCCAGUUAACCUAUGCCUGGACUCCGGAGCCACAAAAAAUACAAGAUAAUAAGUUUAUGUUAUAUUAUAUGAAGUUAUUAAGUUUGGGGUAGCUUGUGAAGCAGCAAUAGAAAACUAAUAUACGUGGUCAUGGGAGAGGAUCAUUUUGUAUUCUUAUCAGUUAGCUACACCUGAUAGGUUGUAAAAUAGCUCAAGGCAAUGAAAGGUGCACUGAUCCCACAGAAUCAAAUACCCUGGAAGGCUGCCCAAGACACCACCUAGAUUUUCAUUGAAUGUACUCAGUAAUUUACUUGGUCCUUCUAUAUAGUGAGAAAUGUUUCAUUUGGUAAAGUGCCUAUUUCACUGACAAUAUUGUUUUAUUUUUAUUUAAAGAAUCCUUUUUUUUUUCUUGAAUAGAUGUAGACUACACUUUGGUUUUUUGGACACGUGAGGGGGUAAGGGGUGCCUAGCUUCCAGGAGCUGCAGAGUGGAGACCUGAGUAGGCUGCAGAAAGGAUCACACACCUGUCAUUGCUGAGGAAGCGGAACUGAGCAAACCUCAGCCUGGACUAAGAGGAGGAAGGAGGAAUGUGUGUCCAAGAAGAGAAAAAAAUGAAGGAAUAUGGAAAAGGGAAAGACAUGAACUAGGGCUACCCCACCAUUCUGGCUGGAAGUAGGAGAAAGAAGAGGAAAAAAAUCAGCUCAACAGCAAUUUGAGGCAAAGACGGAAGAUUGUAGGCACAGUGAUGUCUCAGAAAUCAAUCCCGAAGAAAUCUGCCUACCCGAGGCUCCUGCUGUGCUAUGGUGGAGAGAAUAGAGACCUUACAAUCAAGCAGUUUGAUUCAUGUUCCUGUCCUGGCUUUGCCAUUUCUUUUUCCUGUGUGACUUAGGGUGAGAUACUUACCCUCUCUGGGCCUCACUUUUCUCUUCUGUGAAAGAGAUAAAAGUCUUGGCUUGUAAAAUGAUUGGGACAACUGUAUGCAAUGAAACAGGAGAAUGCUAUUUGGGUGAAUUUUGGCUGCACUGUAAUGACAAAAAGAAUUCAGGCCAUUCUUAUCAUCCCCAACAGGCCACAUGCAGGAGACGCACUCAAGAUGUUUUAAGCCUGUCUGAGGGAUGGUCUUGCCUGGAGCUAAGGCUUGGCAAUCAAUUCUUGCUGCCAAGUUUGUGACAUGGUUGGGAUUGUGUGAGCUCUACAGAAUUCACAUGAAAGGCCUGGAGGCUGACAGAACAAGAUGGAAGCCCUUCAAGAGAAUUGCUAAUAAAGAAAGACUGAAAAUGGGCACAACCAUUUGGAGGUUUGUAUCCAGGCUGGUUACAGCCAGGACUGACUCUUCUCCGUUAUUGCUAAUUGGCAGCAACAGACAGUAUGUAAACUGGAAUAUGAGAAAGAUGGGGAAAAACAAAACCAAAGCCAAACUCUAAAACUCCAAUCAUCUUUAAUUAGUCAAGAGAAAUCAACAGCUUAAGAACGUACACCUACUGAGACAGCGUGAAGAGCUGGCAGCAAAGUGUUUCUGAGUCCAUCUGAGGCUCUCGUGCCCCUCACUUAAUCUUCACUGGCUUUUGUUUUUUCCACCUUUAUAAAUAAGGUGUUAAAAAUUGCCAACCUCCUGUUUGUACCAGAUAUAGCAAUGCUGAAUUUGGAAAUUUUAAAAAUGCUGAAAUGUCCAUAAUAGCUGUGGUGCUAGAAGGUCAUUUUCCCUGUCCCUGUCUCUUUCCCUGAAGGUAGGUAGAGACUAUCCAAUAUUGUGCAAAUACUAAGCCACAGUCCGAUGUCAGUUAACCAGAAUCUACCUAACAGGAUGUCUAAUUAAGGCAUAUUUUUUUUUCCUGUUUAACAAUGUGGAGUAGUGAAAACACCAUCAUCCUCAGUUCUCCUCAGACCUGGGUUUAAAAUCUUCCAUGACUUUCUAGUUGUGUGACCUCAACAAAAUCAAUGUGCUUCCCUGAGACAGAGCUUCCUCAUUGGCAAAAUGGUUUUGUGAUGGUUACUCUGUAGUGGGUGGCAAGGAUUAAAGCAAACAAUACAUGCAAA